rnacentral:rRNA from 1 species
UGUCUGGUGGGUAGUUUGACUGGGGCGGUCUCCUCCUAAAGAGUAACGGAGGAGCACGAAGGUUGGCUAAUCCUGGUCGGACAUCAGGAGGUUAGUGCAAUGGCAUAAGCCAGCUUGACUGCGAGCGUGACGGCGCGAGCAGGUGCGAAAGCAGGUCAUAGUGAUCCGGUGGUUCUGAAUGGAAGGGCCAUCGCUCAACGGAUAAAAGGUACUCCGGGGAUAACAGGCUGAUACCGCCCAAGAGUUCAUAUCGACGGCGGUGUUUGGCACCUCGAUGUCGGCUCAUCACAUCCUGGGGCUGAAGUAGGUCCCAAGGGUAUGGCUGUUCGCCAUUUAAAGUGGUACGCGAGCUGGGUUUAGAACGUCGUGAGACAGUUCGGUCCCUAUCUGCCGUGGGCGCUGGAGAAUUGAGGGGGGCUGCUCCUAGUACGAGAGGACCGGAGUGGACGCAUCACUGGUGUUCGGGUUGUCAUGCCAAUGGCACUGCCCGGUAGCUAAAUGCGGAAGAGAUAAGUGCUGAAAGCAUCUAAGCACGAAACUUGCCCCGAGAUGAGUUCUCCCUGACUCCUUGAGAGUCCUGAAGGAACGUUGAAGACGACGACGUUGAUAGGCCGGGUGUGUAAGCGCAGCGAUGCGUUGAGCUAACCGGUACUAAUGAACCGUGAGGCUUAACCUUACAACGCCGAAG